UUACAAAGAAAAUUGGGUAUG
rnacentral:misc_RNA from 1 species